GGUCGGACUCCGCGCAACGUCUGCCUGCCAACCCCGCCAGGACCGGAAGGUAGCAACGGUACGUAGGACUCGGCGUGUGCCGCGGAUGUUCCGGCCCUC
rnacentral:SRP_RNA from 1 species